rnacentral:rRNA from 1 species
UACGUAGGGUGCAAGCGUUGUCCGGAAUUAUUGGGCGUAAAGAGCUCGUAGGCGGUCUGUCGCGUCGGCUGUGAAAACCCGGAGCUCAACUCCGGGCCUGCAGUCGAUACGGGCAGACUGGAGUUCGGCAGGGGAGACUGGAAUCCUGGUGUAGCGGUGAAAUGCGCAGAUAUCAGGAGGAACACCGGUGGCGAAGGCGGGUCUCGUGGGCCGAUGACUGACGCUGAGGAGCGAAAGCGUGGGGAGCGAACAGG